GGGCAAUGGUCGGAAGACUGACCCAGCCAUGCCGCGUGCAGGAAGACGGCCCUCUGGGUUGUAAACUGCUUUUAUCUGGGAAGAAAAGGGCCAUGCGUGGCAAAUUGCCGGUACCAGAUGAAUAAGCACCGGCUAACUCCGUGCCAGCAGCCGCGGUAAUACGGAGGGUGCAAGCGUUGUCCGGAUUUAUUGGGUUUAAAGGGUGCGUAGGCGGCUGAUUAAGUCAGCGGUGAAAGACUUCGGCUUAACCGGAGCAGUGCCGUUGAUACUGGUUAGCUUGAGUGUUGGAGGGGUACAUGGAAUUGAUGGUGUAGCGGUGAAAUGCAUAGAUACCAUCAGGAACACCGAUAGCGAAGGCAUUGUACUGGCCAACAACUGACGCUGAUGCACGAAAGUGUGGGGAUCGAACAGGAUUAGAUACCCUGGUAGUCCACACCGUAAACGAUGAUUACUCGCUGUUAUGGAGUAUUCUGUAGUGGCCAAGCGAAAGCGUUAAGUAAUCCACCUGGGGAGUACGCCGGCAACGGUGAAACUCAAAGGAAUU
rnacentral:rRNA from 1 species